GCACUCGAAAUCUGAAGGCACCAUUAAAUUCUACGUACUUUUUUUACAUAAUCGUUCCCUAUUAUGGUUCGGAAGGGUGUUUUCAUCUUUUCGCAAUUUAACGUGCGCUUUUUUUAGUCUACUCCGUUUUCUUUAUUUUAACCGCAAAUAAUUCAGUAGCGGACUUAUUUGAAAUCGCACUCGAAAUCUAAUGGCACCAUUAAAUUGUAUGUACUUUUCUGCGUAAUCGUCCGUUAUUGUAGUUCGGAGUACAAGAAUUUAGUUAUUGAAAUUUGCUGUUUUUUAUUAGACAUUAUGCAGUUUUUUAAUUAAAAUAAUUAUAUAUUGUGCCCUUUUUUUUGAUGCAGUUCAAAGCUUCACUUUUACUUACUAUCUGGAAGUGCAGAAAUGCAUUAAUACUUAUCUUUGUUGUGAAAUGAAGUUAAUUGUUGAUAUAAAUUAAUGCGAAUUUCAUAAUUGUUAGUUGUAGGUGACUCUUUCUAUGUUGUAGUUUUAUUACCGUUUUAAAAUUGUUAACAGCGAGUUUUAGUUCGAAAACUCUCCAUAGCACGGUCGUCGAUUGCGCCACCAGUCUUUUAAUUCUGCCUUUGCUGAUCGUGUUUUCACAUACGUAAGAAACUGGAAAAUUCCGUAGUUGUUUCCUAUUUUUGAGCAAUAAUGUGUUUUCGUUAAAUCGUUUCCGAAAAAUUGCAAUUUGUGCACGUUCAGGCAGCAAAAUAUGUGGCGAAAUCAAAAGCGAAAUAUGUAGUGAUAUCAAUAUUUGCGUUUUCUAAGAAAGUGUUACCUACCCAUUGAUAAAACCAAUGCAGUAUUUUGUGUAAUGUGGAGCAUUUCUAAGAAGUACCAGAGAAUUAUAACUACUUUCCGGUGAGUUUUUGUGAUUUGGUCUUUUUUCUCGAAUUUCUGGUGAUAAGUGUAAUUUUGGAGUUUUUGUUUUAAUAAGGGUCAUGUUUCAGGUUAAUCAUAAACUAUUUCAAUAAUUUCGAAGUAGUUCGGCUAUGAUUUUAAGCAUAUUAAUUCAGUUUAUAAGAAAUUCGCAGUUGUAAUUGUUUAACUAAAAAUUGCUUCUACAAAUGUUUUCAAAAUUACUAUUAUAGUGUAUUCUGUACAGAAAAAUGUUUAUAUAUUUAAAUUUUUGGGUUUAAAAAGUUAAUACAACCGUAACCGCUCACCGCUAUUUUUCGCAAUUUAACGGUACUUAAGGCCGGCUCGUUAGCUAGUCUAGCGGUAAUACGGUCGCAGAUCGUAGGUUGACUGCCUAGACGCUGAGUGAGGGUACCUAUAGCAAAGCGUUAUUAGGUGGAAUAGGCCAAACGGGCGACUGUAAGUCCGGCGGUGUAUUACCCCCGUAUU